UACGUAGGGGGCAAGCGUUGUCCGGAUUUAUUGGGCGUAAAGGGCGCGUAGGCGGCUUGGCAAGUGGAAGGUGAAAUCCCUCGGCUUAACCGAGGAACUGCCUUCCAGACUGCUUUGCUUGAGGCCGGGAGAGGCGAGUGGAAUUCCCAGUGUAGCGGUGAAAUGCGUAGAUAUUGGGAGGAACACCAGUGGCGAAGGCGGCUCGCUGGACCGGUUCUGACGCUGAUGCGCGAAAGCGUGGGGAGCAAACGGG
rnacentral:rRNA from 1 species